GAUGAACGCUGGCGGCGUGCCUAAUACAUGCAAGUCGAGCGAACGGACGAGAAGCUUGCUUCUCUGAUGUUAGCGGCGGACGGGUGAGUAACACGUGGAUAACCUACCUAUAAGACUGGGAUAACUUCGGGAAACCGGAGCUAAUACCGGAUGAUAUUUUGAACCGCAUGGUUCAAAAGUGAAAGACGGUCUUGCUGUCACUUAUAGAUGGAUCCGCGCUGCAUUAGCUAGUUGGUAAGGUAACGGCUUACCAAGGCAACGAUGCAUAGCCGACCUGAGAGGGUGAUCGGCCACACUGGAACUGAGACACGGUCCAGACUCCUACGGGAGGCAGCAGUAGGGAAUCUUCCGCAAUGGGCGAAAGCCUGACGGAGCAACGCCGCGUGAGUGAUGAAGGUCUUCGGAUCGUAAAACUCUGUUAUUAGGGAAGAACAUAUUUGUAAGUAACUGUGCACAUCUUGACGGUACCUAAUCAGAAAGCCACGGCUAACUACGUG
rnacentral:rRNA from 1 species